rnacentral:rRNA from 1 species
AUUGAACGCGGGCGGAAUGCUUUACACAUGCAAGUCGAACGGCAGCACGGACUUCGGUCUGGUGGCGAGUGGCGAACGGGUGAGUAAUAUAUCGGAACGUGCCCAGGCGUGGGGGAUAACGUAGCGAAAGUUACGCUAAUACCGCAUACGAUCUACGGAUGAAAGCGGGGGAUCGCAAGAACUCGCGCGAUUGGAGCGGCCGAUAUCAGAUUAGGUAGUUGGUGGGGGAAGGGCUCACCAAGCCAACGAUCUGGAGCGGGUCUGAGAGGACGACAAGCCACACUGGACCUGAGACACGUUCCAGACUCCUACGGGAGGCAGCAUUGGGGAAUUUUGUACAAUGGACGCAAGUCUGAUCCAGCCAUUCCGCGUGCAGGAUGAAGGCCCUCGGGUUGUAAACUGCUUUUGUACAGAACGAAAAGGCUCUUCCUAAUACGGAGGGCUCAUGACGGUACUGUAAGAAUAAGCACCGGCUAACUACGUGCCAGCCGCCGCAGUAA